rnacentral:lncRNA from 1 species
UUGGGUGAAGACACAAAUUCCGAUGGAUUGGUUCUACCGAUAGAAAAGCGCUAACGAACGCCGGCGCCGUUAUUCAGUCGUUCACGUUUCCAGUUCCCUAUUGAGGUCCAUGUGUUAGACUAUUCUCCCUGAUAUGCAGAAGUACGGAUACAAGAAAAGUGGUACACGAAAUUAUGAAAAAAUUGUUGUCAAAAAAUGUUUCUUCACAAUAUUCUGCAAUAGGCCGCAAAGGGAAAGAACAUGUUUUGAAACUGAUGUAGAUAUUACAAGGGGUGUGAUUAGUGAUGCCACAGAAAACGAAAUAAGGAAGCAUGUUAGUUCGUUUUUGGCACAAGCUGGUGACAGAGAAGGGGAAGAGCAAUAAAAGAGAUAUGAUGAUAAUACUGAUAACGAAAAAGUUCUGAAAUAACCUAGAGAGUUCAUUUUACUUUAUAUAGUGUGAAUUAAAAUAAAACUUUUUCUCAAGUAGAUUCUGUUAGAGGAAACCAAAAAUAAUUUUAUAUUUCAGUGUAUAAUCAUUCUUAUUAAACUUUUUUUGCAUCUUGAUUUUAAAGUUUUAAUUUUCCUGAGUUUUUCACGUAUAUCAUUAUCGCCAAAUUUUUACAUCUGAAAUUGGGCCAAUCACAUAUUUCAAAUAUUUGUCCUAUAUUCAUUUGGAAAAAUUGGAUUAAAUUUCAUCACAUUUUUCCUUAAAAAAAAAUGUGCAGAAAAACGAAACUGUCCAUUGCCUUCAAUUUGGUCUGAGUGGAAUCGUUUAGACUGCCAACAAUAGCAGCGCAGAGAAUAAAAUGGUUAUAAUUUUCUCUAUCUGGUGCUUCAGACGUGGGAUGGAAUACUGACUCACGACUUACAAUUUAUACAUUUGAGACCAGACUGCGGUAUUUUUUGCAUAUUUUGUGUGUAUAAUUAGAAGCACUAACUGACGCACCUUGUGCGGCGUCAAAUUGAAUGAAAAUAUUGUUUAAAACUGAGAAUAAUGACAGAAAAAUCUUGAAUAAUGAACUCAAAUGUAGUUUUAAGGUGGUCGCUGGGUUUAAGGAAAUAAAAAACAAAAAGAAGUGUCUAAUCUCAUUAUGUAGCUUUAUUCACAAAUUCCUAAUUUUAGUAAAAAACAACUGCAAUCAUUGCACUAAAUUGGAUAAAUUUCAAUUCAUAACUUUCAGUAACUUCUAUGAUUUUAUUAUAAAUUGUGUACCCUUGUUACAUUGUACCCUUUAUCUGAGUUUACUGGUAGCAAAUUCCGAAGAUUUC